rnacentral:rRNA from 1 species
AUUAAAAAAUAAAUAAUUUUAAAUUAUAAUAAUUUAUUUUAAUUAAAUUAAUAAUAAUGUUUAUUUUUUUAGUAUUUAAUUUAAAUUUAAUAUUUAUUUUAUAUUUUUAGUAUUGAUAAAGAAUUAUAAUAUUUAUUUAAAAAUAAAUUUAUUAUCUUUUCCUUUUGUAUCAGGAUUAAUUUAAUAUAUUUUAAUAUAAAUUUAAUAUCUCGAAAUUAAUUGAUCUAAAUAUAUAUAUUAUUUAAUAUAAAAUUAUUAUUAAUAAUAUGUUUUUAGUAGAAAAAAUUUUUUCAAAAUUAAUUAUAUCUAGUUAUUUUAUAAAUUAAUUAAAUUAAUUUAAUUUUUUAUAAUAUUAAUAUUUAAAUUUAAUUUUAUUUUAAAUUAAUAAUAAUUAAUGGGGUAAACUAUUAAUUUAAUUAAUAUAAAUAAUUUUAUUGAUAAAAUUAAAAUUAAAAAUUUUUAUAUUUAAAUAAUUUGUAAUAAUUAAUAUUUAAGCAAAAAAAAUUUAUUAAAUAUUUAUUUAUUUAUAAAAUUAAAUUUAUUAAUAAAAAAUAAAUUGAAAUAAUGAUUAAAUUAGUAAAUUUUUAAAAAUAUAAUAUUAAAUUUAUAAAUUAAUUUUAUGAAUUAGGCAAUAUUUUUAAAUUCACCUGUUUAAUAAAAACAUGGUUUAUUGAAAAUAAUUUUAAAUCAAAUCUGCUCAAUGAUUAAUAUAAUAAAUAGCUGCAGUAUUUUGACUGUACAAAGGUAGCAUAAUCAUUUGUCUUUUUAAUGAAGUCUAGAAUGAAUGAUUUAAUGAAAUUUAAACUUUAUUAAAUUAAUUUUUUGAAUUUAAUUUUAAGUAAAAAAUCUUAAUUAUUUUUAAAAGACGAGAAGACCCUAUAAAAUUUUAUAAAAUUAAUUUAUUUAUUAAAAUAAAUUUUAUUAAUAAUUUAUAUUUAUUUUAUUGGGGUUAUAAUAAAAUUUAAAUAAUUUUUAUAUUUAAUUAUCAUUAAUUUAUGAAAUUUAAAAUCCAAUAUUUAUUGAAUUUAAAUUAAAUUACUUUAGGGAUAACAGCGUAAUUUUAUUGGAAAGAUCAUAUUGAUAAUAAAGUUUGCGACCUCGAUGUUGAAUUAAGAUAAAUUUAAAAUGAAGAAAUUUUAUAAUUUAGUCUGUUCGACUAUUAAAAUCUUACAUGAUUUGAGUUUAAAUCGGUGUGAGCCAGAUUGGAUUCUAUCUUUAAAAUUUUAAAUUAAUUUUGUACGAAAGGACUUUUUAAUUUUAAUAAUUAAUUUUUUAAUGAAUUAAUUUAAU